UACGUAGGGUGCAAGCGUUAAUCGGAAUUACUGGGCGUAAAGCGUGCGCAGGCGGUUUUGUAAGACAGAUGUGAAAUGCCCGGGCUUAACCUGGGAACUGCAUUUGUGACUGCAAGGCUAGAGUGUGUCAGAGGGGGGUAGAAUUCCACGGUGUAGCAGUGAAAUGCGUAGAUAUGUGGAGGAAUACCGAUGGGCGAAGGCAGCCCCCUGG
rnacentral:rRNA from 1 species